CUUGCACCGAGAUUCAACAUGGAACGAGUGGCGGACGGGUGAGUAACACGUGGGUAACCUGCCCUUAAGUGGGGGAUAACAUUUGGAAACAGAUGCUAAUACCGCAUAGAUCCAAGAACCGCAUGGUUCUUGGCUGAAAGAUGGCGUAAGCUAUCGCUUUUGGAUGGACCCGCGGCGUAUUAGCUAGUUGGUGAGGUAAUGGCUCACCAAGGCGAUGAUACGUAGCCGAACUGAGAGGUUGAUCGGCCACAUUGGGACUGAGACACGGCCCAAACUCCUACGGGAGGCAGCAGUAGGGAAUCUUCCACAAUGGACGCAAGUCUGAUGGAGCAACGCCGCGUGAGUGAAGAAGGCUUUCGGGUCGUAAAACUCUGUUGUUGGAGAAGAAUGGUCGGCAGAGUAACUGUUGUCGGCGUGACGGUAUCCAACCAGAAAGCCACGGCUAACUACGUGCCAGCAGCCGCGGUAAUACGUAGGUGGCAAGCGUUAUCCGGAUUUAUUGGGCGUAAAGCGAGCGCAGGCGGUUUUUUAAGUCUGAUGUGAAAGCCCUCGGCUUAACCGAGGAAGCGCAUCGGAAACUGGGAAACUUGAGUGCAGAAGAGGACAGUGGAACUCCAUGUGUAGCGGUGAAAUGCGUAGAUAUAUGGAAGAACACCAGUGGCGAAGGCGGCUGUCUGGUCUGUAACUGACGCUGAGGCUCGAAAGCAUGGGUAGCGAACAGGAUUAGAUACCCUGGUAGUCCAUGCCGUAAACGAUGAAUGCUAGGUGUUGGAGGGUUUCCGCCCUUCAGUGCCGCAGCUAACGCAUUAAGCAUUCCGCCUGGGGAGUACGACCGCAAGGUUGAAACUCAAAGGAAUUGACGGGGGCCCGCACAAGCGGUGGAGCAUGUGGUUUAAUUCGAAGCAACGCGAAGAACCUUACCAGGUCUUGACAUCUUUUGAUCACCUGAG
rnacentral:rRNA from 2 species